UCGGAGCUAGCUCAGUCGGUAGAACAUGAGACUCUUAAUCUCAGGGUCGUGGGUUUGUACCCCACGUUGGGUG
rfam:Sarcophilus harrisii ctg7180001597715, whole genome shotgun sequence.